ensembl:lncRNA novel transcript, antisense to DTNBP1
GUAGCCCUUGGGGCUGCUCUAUGGAGUAGCUUUUGUUUCUCCUGUAAUAAACUUGCAUUCACUUUACUCUGAAUUUGCCUUCAUUCUUGAACAAGAUCCAAGAACCCUCUCUUGGGGUCUGGAUUGGGACCCAUUUCCAGUAACAUCUUCCUGGCAAACCACCAAGGGACAACACUGGAGAAACCCCGACCCAAAAGAAUAGACUGCAGCACUAAUUGGCCAACUUUGCACUACGGAAAUGACAUUAGACAAAAAGCAAAUUUGAGCGAUUUUCGUAUCAAAGUUCGAAAUGGGUCAUAAAGCAGUGGAGACAACUCGCAACAUCCACAAUGCAUUUGGCGCAGGAACUGCUAAUGAACUGACAGUGCAAUGGUGGUUCAAGAAGUUUUGCAAAGGAGACAAGAGCCUUGAAGAUGAGGAGCACGGUGGCCAGCCAUCAGAAGUUGACAACGACCAGUUGAAAGCGAUCGUCAAGGCUGAUCCUCUUACAACUACACGAGAAGUUGCCAAAGAGCUCAACAUCAACCAUUCUGUGGUCAUUCAGCAUUUGAAGCAAAUUGGAAGGGUAAAAAAGCAUGGUAAGUGGGUGCCUUAUGAGCUGAGUGAAAAUCAAAAAAAUUGUCAUUUUGAAGUGUCAUCUUGUUUUAUCCUACACAACAACAACAAACCAUUUCUCAAUCAGACUGUGAUGUGUGAUGAAAAGUAGAUUUUAUGCAACAACCGGUGACAACCAGUUCAUUGGCUAGACUGAGAAGAAGCUUCAAAGCACUUCCCAAAGCCAAAUGUGCACCAAAAAAGAGCUCACGGUCACUGUUUGGUGGUCUGCUGCUGGUGUGAUGCACUAUAGGUUUCUGAAUCCCAGCAUAACCAUUAUAUAUGAGAAGUAUACUCAGCAAAUCAAUGAGAUGCCCAGAAAACUGCAACACCAGCAGCUGGCAUUGGUCAGUAGAAACGGCCCAAUUCUUCUCCAUGACAACGCCCAACUACACAUCACACAAUGCCUCAAAAGUUGAAUGAAUUGGGCUACAGAGUUUUGCCUCAUCUGCCAUAUUCACUUGACCUCUCGCCAACUGACUACUACUUCUUCAAGCAUCUUGACAACUUUUUUGCAGGGAAAACACUCCCACAACCAGGAGGAUGCAGAAAAUGUUUCCCAAAAGUUUGUCAAAUCCCAAAGCAUGGAUUUUUAUGCUACAGGAAUAAACUUAUUUCUCAUUGUCCAAA